rnacentral:rRNA from 1 species
AAUCAACGCUGGCGGCGUGCCUAACACAUGCAAGUCGAACGCGAAAGCCCCGCAAGGGGUAAGUAGAGUGGCAAACGGGUGAGUAACACGUGGGUGACCUGCCUUCGAGUGGGGGAUAACGUCCCGAAAGGGACGCUAAUACCGCAUGACAUCCUGCUUUUGAAAAAGCGGAGAUCAAAGCUGGGGAUCGCAAGACCUAGCGCUUGAAGAGGGGCCCGCGCCUGAUUAGCUAGUUGGUGAGGUAACGGCUCACCAAGGCGACGAUCAGUAUCCGGCCUGAGAGGGCGGACGGACACACUGGGACUGAGACGCGGCCCAGACUCCUACGGGAGGCAGCAGUGGGGAAUUGUUCGCAAUGGGCGCAAGCCUGACGACGCAACGCCGCGUGGAGGACGAAGAUCUUCGGGUCGUAAACUCCUGUCGAGCGGGACGAACGCUUCGCGGAUGAAUAAUCCGCGGAAUUGACGGUACCGCUAAAGGAAGCCCCGGCUAACUCCGUG